rnacentral:rRNA from 1 species
AGGGCACUACCAGGAGUGGAUCCUGCGGCUCAAUUUGACUCAACACGGGAAAGCUCACCUGGUCCGGACACUGGAAGGAUUGACAGAUUAAGAGCUCUUUCUUGAUUCAGUGGGUGGUGGUGCAUGGCCGUUCUUAGUUGGUGGAGCGAUUUGUCUGGUUAAUUCCGAUAACGAACGAGACUCUAGCCUACUAAAUAGGUGUUCCGAUCCCAUCAGUCGGACGCUCUUCUUAGAGGGACAAGCGGCGUUUAGCCGCACGAGACAGAGCAAUAACAGGUCUGUGAUGCCCUUAGAUGUUCGGGGCUGCACGCGCGCUACACUGAAGGAAUCAACAUGCUUCUCAACCUUGUCCGGAAGGACUAGGUAACCCGUUGAAACUCCUUCGUGAUUGGGAUAGGGAAUUGCAAUUACUUCCCUUGAACAAGGAAUUCCCAGUAAGUGCGGGUCAUCAGCUCACGCUGAUUACGUCCCUGCCCUUUGACGCACCGCCCCUCGCUACUACAGAUUGUAGUAACAAGA